rnacentral:rRNA from 1 species
UACGGAGGGUGCGAGCGUUGUCCGGAAUCACUGGGCGUAAAGGGCGCGUAGGCGGCCUGAUAAGUAGGGGGUGAAAUCCUGCGGCUUAACCGCAGGGCUGCCUUCUAAACUGUCAGGCUUGAGCACAGUAGAGGCAGGUGGAAUUCCCGGUGUAGCGGUGGAAUGCGUAGAGAUCGGGAGGAACACCUGUGGCGAAGGCGGCCGACUGGGCCGACCCUGACGCUGAGGCGCGAAGGCGUGGGGAGCGAACGGG